UUGAGGCGAAGAAGGGAAUUGAGGUAAGACUGGCAUAAGAGAAUGGAGUUACUGAGCGAAUAUUCAAACGUCUAUUUAUGUGAGAACUUCUUGCCCCUUUGGUUGACACCACCUUAGCCUUAGUCAGUAAGAGAGGGGAUGACUAUUAGAUAGGGACUCCGGAAGUUCAUGGGAAGAUGUUAGUGGAUGGCAGGUUCGAUUACGGAGAAGCCAAUAAUCAAAGAUUAUGCGGAGGGUCCAGCAGUAACUAAUUACCCAAGCAGAAGGACAAUGACACUAGCUAACCAACUGAGAGAGUCAAAUAGAUAGAUGAAUUACUUGCUAAA
rnacentral:lncRNA from 1 species